rnacentral:rRNA from 1 species
GACGAACGCUGGCGGCGUGCUUUACACAUGCACGUCGAACGAAGUGGCGAACGGGUGAGUAACGCGUAAUCAACCUGCCCUUCAGAGGGGGACAACAGUUGGAAACGACUGUUAAUACCGCAUACUGAAGGAGGGGAUUGCGUCUGAUUAGCUAGUUGGAGGGGUAACGGCCCACCAAGGCGAUGAUCAGUAGCCGGGCUGAGAGGAUGAACGGCAACAUUGGGACUGGGACACGGCCCAUACUCCGAGGGGAGGCAGCAGGGGGGAAUCGUCCGCAAUGGACGAAAGUCUGACGGAGCAACGCCGCGUGAGUGAUGACGGCCUUCGGGUUGUAAAGCUCUGUUAAUCGGGACGCGGUACCGGAAUAGAAAGCAACGGCUAACUACGUGACAGCAGCCGCGGUAAUUC